GAUCAUGGCUCAGGAUGAACGCUAGCGACAGGCUUAACACAUGCAAGUCGAGGGGCAGCAUGAGGUAGCAAUACCUUGAUGGCGACCGGCGCACGGGUGAGUAACGCGUGAGGAACCUGCCUCAAAGAGGGGGACAACAGUUGGAAACGACUGCUAAUACCGCAUAAGCCCACAGGUCGGCAUCGACCAGAGGGAAAAGGAGCAAUCCGCUUUAAGAUGGCCUCGCGUCCGA
rnacentral:rRNA from 1 species